GAUGAACGCUGGCGGCGUGCCUAAUACAUGCAAGUCGAACGCGAAAGGCUUGAAGCCUUCGGGCGGAGGGCCGAGUAGAGUGGCGAACGGGUGAGGAACACGUAGGUGACCUGCCCCGGAGGGGGGGAUAACCGUCGGAAACGGCGGCUAAUACCCCAUAAGCUCACGAGGGUUAGAGGCUUUGUGAGAAAAGCUCCGGCGCUCCGGGAGGGGCCUGCGGCCCAUCAGCUAGUUGGUAGGGUAAAGGCCUACCAAGGCGAAGACGGGUAGGGGGCCUGAGAGGGUGGUCCCCCACAUGGGAACUGAGACACGGUCCCAACUCCUACGGGAGGCAGCAGUAAGGAAUAUUGCACAAUGGGCGCAAGCCUGAUGCAGCAACGCCGCGUGCCCGAGGACGGCCUUCGGGUUGUAAAGGGCUUUUCUGGCUGACGAGGAAGGACGGUAGGCCAGGAAUAAGCGUCGGCUAACUACGUG
rnacentral:rRNA from 1 species